AGAAAGGUAUCGGGUGUCAUAG
rnacentral:miRNA from 1 species